rnacentral:rRNA from 1 species
AUUGAACGCUGGCGGCAUGCCUAACACAUGCAAGUCGAACGAGUGGCGGACGGGUGAGUAAUGUCUGGGAAACUGCCUGAUGGAGGGGGAUAACUACUCGAAACAGUAGCUAAUACCGCAUACCCUCAGAGGGGCCGCUAUGGGAUUAGCUAGUUGGUGGGGUAACGGCUCACCAAGGCAACGAUCCGUAUCUGGUUUGAGAGGAGGACCAGCCACACGGGAACUGAGACACGGUCCAGACUCCUACGGGAGGCAGCAGGGGGGAAUAUUGGACAAUGGGCGCAAUCCUGAUGCAGCCAUCCCGCGUGUAUGAUGAAGGCCUUCGGGUGGUAAAGUACUUUCAGCGGGGAGGCGGUACCCGCAGAAGAAGCACCGGCUAACUCCGUGCCAGCAGCCGCGGUAAUAC